rnacentral:rRNA from 1 species
UGGGGAAUAUUGCACAAUGGGGGGAAACCCUGAUGCAGCAACGCCGCGUGAGUGAUGACGGUCUUCGGAUUGUAAAGCUCUGUCUUUAGGGACGAUAAUGACGGUACCUAAGGAGGAAGCCACGGCUAACUACGUGCCAGCAGCCGCGGUAAUACGUAGGUGGCAAGCGUUGUCCGGAUUUACUGGGCGUAAAGGGAGCGUAGGCGGAUUUUUAAGUGGGAUGUGAAAUACCCGGGCUUAACCUGGGUGCUGCAUUCCAAACUGGAAGUCUAGAGUGCAGGAGGGGAAAGCGGAAUUCCUAGUGUAGCGGUGAAAUGCGUAGAGAUUAGGAAGAACACCAGUGG